rnacentral:lncRNA from 1 species
CUGUUGUUGUUGGAGGCUGUGCACCAUUUCUGUUAACACCUUCAUUUACUAUAUUAAAGCAGCAAUUUGUGUCCGUAGUGAUUACAGGACGUGAAGAACUGGGCUCUGCUAAUGGAGGUAGGGGAGGAAGAUCUUCCGAGCGGGAAGAUUGCCUCGUGGAUCCUGUAGAGUUGUUUUAAGCUUUGAUUUUUGCCAUGGUUUCUCGUAAUCUUUUUUCUACCUAGUGCAUCAAUCUGUUAUGGCCAAUCCCCUAUUGCACCUGUUGCC